CACAUCCAUCCAUCCACCCAUACACCCAUCCAUCCAUCCAUCAAUGCAUCCAUCCAUUCACCCACCACCCAUCCACCCACCCACUGACUCAUGCACCCAUCUACACAUCCACCCAUCCAUCCAUCUAUCCAUCCACCCCUACACCUGUCUACAUAGCCAUCCAUCUACCCAUCCCUGCAUGUGUCAGGAAUUACACUGUAACAGGCCAAUGGGGAGCUUAUGAUAAAAGUGACUGAACUCCAAGAUGGCAGAGGUCACAGAUGCUAUAUUCUGGUCCCACCAUGUCUGGAGGCUUUAGAAGAUCCUGGGACAUCUUGAGUCCCAACUUUAGAUGGGAAAUAGCCUGUCUCUCUUGAGUCCUGACUCUGGAGCUUUACAGAGAGUUCACAGGCUUUUUUGAGCAAGUGUAUGGUUAUCCUAGACUUGUUGCAAGUAGAAUGAGGAGAGAGACAGGAUGAAAAUCCCUUUCAUUUACUUCAUUUCAGGUUUUCUCCAGUUUGUUAAGUCAUGCCCUCUGAGAACAUAUCGCCUCUGGACUUGUGUGCAAAAUGUGAAAGCAUUCAAUUAAAAACCUUGAAGCCACCCUCCUGGGGCCCAGCUUAGUGUGGCUGCCCUGGGGGUUGUUCCACUGGGUGUGCUGGGAAAGCAGCAUGCAUGGGUCCGGGGCUGUCUUGCAUGGUGGAGUCUUGGGUUGGUGCUAUUGGAGGCAGGCAUCUCCACUGAGGGCAAACAGGCAGAGUUGAGCCGGGUGUGCUGAGGGAGGACGAAGGUCUGGGCAGCCCACAGUCCUGUGUGCAGAUCCUCCCUGGGAUUCCUGGGGUUUUUUCCUAGUAAGAGCAGCCUGGGAAGAGCUCAGCUGGCUGGCAGUUCAGGGCAGGUACCAAUGCUGUGUGAAGGUUUCUUGCUGUCUCCCCGCCCCCCCUUCCUCUUCCCUUCCUUUCUGUACUACGGAUUAAACCCAGGGCUCUUGCUCCGAGCUGCAUCCCCAGCCCUUUCAUUAUUUAUUUAGAAACAAGAUGUCACUAGGCCAGUGAGUUCUCCAGACUGGGCUUGAACACAUGAUCCUCCUGCCUCAGCCUCCCAAAGUGCUAGGAUUAUGGGCAUGCAUUCCAUGCCUGGUUACGUCUAAGGACUUCUCUCUCUGUCACAAUGGAGAGCCUGCCCUUCAUUUGGGGUUAUGUCUUUAUUAUGGGCUGGAUUGUUCCCCCUACCUCAAUGUAUAUGCUGAAGUUCCUGCCCCAGUUCCUCAGACCUUGACUAGUAUGGAGAUGGUCAGAUGAAAUUGGCUGAGUGAGUUUAUACUACAGUUGGGUGGACACCUCCACCUGUGUGAUGAGGGUCUUUGUAAGAAGGAACUUUUGGACACAAAGUCAGCCGUGGCUGGACAGUGCUGUGUGAAGACGGAGGUGGAGUUCAGGGGAUGCAGGAACAAGUCUAGGGUCACCAACAUGGCCAGCAUCCACCAGAAGCCAGACAGGCCUGCCACAGACCUUGGGAGCCUCCAAACGUCCAACCUGCUGCACCCAGGUCCCAGGCUCUGGCGUCCAGGCCUGGGAGAGGGUUAAUUUCUGUGGUCUAAGCCAUUUGGUCUGGGGGCUGUGUUGGGGGGUCCCAGGAACCCCAAGGGAAGCAGAAGACCAGGCUGCUUCUGAUGAGGGUACUUCUUGUGCCUGGGCUGAUCGAACCCUGUACCCCUCGGCCCAGAAUGGAGGGCUGUUCAAACACUGUGGGUGAGAAACGGGCUCACAGAUAUAGACAGUGAAGAUGCCAGCUGCGGUAGAGACAGGGAAGUAGCAUACAUUCAGACCCCAAAGACGAUGGGCUUGGUCCUGUUGUUCUGCCCGCUCUGAAGCUGAUGUUGCUCAGAUGGACUUCCGUCUUAAGAAAAUGGCCCAAAAGCCAGCCACCAGCAGAACAGGGUGGGUGCUCCUGAAGCUUUCCUCUCUGCAGGGCCCACCUCUUGCAGGGGCAGAGUUUGGUGGAUGCAGGGAAGCUGCCCAGGAUGAGGAGCUAUGAAAUGUUUCAUCACCCCAGAUCCCUAGAUGUCAGGUAGGCUUUCCUUUAAAGUCCAGCCUGGGCCAUCCAAUGACCUAUUUUUGUCUCUUAUAAGAGUUUUACAUUUCAAUAUAAAUAAUAUUAAGUGUGCUAUAAAGUAAUCACAGCAUUAACAGUCUCUUGGAUCUGGCUUCUCCACUUCAAAUGUCUCCAGGAGUUAUCUGUGUUACUGCUUUUUAUGGUCGAGUAGUAUUCCACUGAAUGGAUGUUUCAUAGUGUGCUUAUCCAUUAGCCAGCUGAUAGACAAUUGAGGUUUUUUUCAAUGUUGGGUUAUUAUAAAUAAUACUACAAACAGAGUAUACAUGGUUUAGUGGGAGCACAGUUUUAUUCCUGUUGAGCAAGUACCAAUAAGCGGAUCUAUUAGGUCAUGUGCAAAGUGUAUGUACAACCCAUGGAAAUUGUAUACAGAUACUCCUGUUUAACAACCGAGUUAUGUCUCCGUGACCAGGUCAUUAAAGGAAUUGGUCCCUAAAUGAGGAAUUGGCUACAGUAGGUACAUUACAAUAAUCAGAACAAAGAAAUGGUCAAUGGAAACUCCAUCUGGGAGGCUGCCUUUAUUUGCAUAACUCUUACAUGCAGCACUGUAAUGUAUAACAGCACAUAAAACCACAGCACUCAAUGUACAGUACAGUCAGCACAAACUACAGGAUUGUACUGUAGAAGAAGCCGCCAUUUGGCACCCUUUACCCCAGCUCCUUAGUCCCCGUUAUCAGGGUGGCUUUGCCUCCAGAGGGCGCAGCCUGGACUGGAGCAGCACACUGAUUCUAGCCUGUCGCUUCCUCUAAAGAUCUUCUGCCUGAUCCAUUUCCCAUUGCAAAUGGCCCUUAACAUAUCAAUGCAAACACCAGAGAUUAUGCAACACCCUCAUGUGUUCCAAAUAAUACAGUGUCAGUAACUUAAAAGCAAGCCAAAUUAGAACACCGUGAAUCAUCUCCCCUCAAUGAAAGACUCAGGAGAAAAAAACCAGCAAAUAUUAAAUGGUCUUUUAAAGUUAAGCCCAAAUGUUGCAAGGUCCAGGACAAAGCAAUGAAAGUUCAAAUUCACUCUCUGCAAUUAUGCCCUUGCUGAGAAGUCUUGGCCCAUGUUCCGGCAGAGACUGGCUUUGCCAUUUGACCAGAUGUGGCCUCCCCGUAAGGACUGGGCUCCACAGGACCGCCUGGCCUGAGUUAACCUGACGGUGACCAUGCCUGUUCCAUGCCCUACUUUAGGGUGAGCAGUGCCAGCCCCACAGCCACAGUUUGGGAAGUACCAUGUGAGUCACUCUCCUACCACACUCCUGCUCACGAACCUAUGCUCCUGGGAGUCGAUGUUUGAGACCACUGAGUCCAGUGCCUGUGGUCAAAAUGGUUCCUUGGUGCCUGGGAGCAAGAGGGUAGGUGGAGAAUGGAGAGAAAAACAAGCUCUGCUUUCAGCCUACUCAACGCUGAUAAGUUCCAGUUGUGUGGACUCCGCUGCCUCUGGGAUGGUCUUCCCUCAGGGAGGCUCAGCAUUCACCUCCUGCGGCUGCUCCAGCUUCCCUAAGCACCUGCUUGUUCAGGAGUCCAAGCAGAUUUGCUUGCACCUUGCUGAGCAGAUUCCCAGCCUCCUCUGUAGAGCCACAGACACCUUAGAUGAGUCUAGACAGCUGGUGGAUUUGGGGGCUCCCUUUGGUGUGUUUCGCCUGCCUCCCUACACUCCCAGGGCCCAUGCAUAUGACCACCAUGUGUCUAGGAAAGCUCUCCACCCAUCAGAAUUUGGUCAUGUUUGGUCACAGCUGUCCAGACAUCUGCAGGUGGCUCUCGACGCACUGGCUUGGGAGCUCUUGGUGGUGCCCUGGCGUACUAUUACCUUGGGGAGUCAGCCCUUGACUUAUGCCUCUUUCUCUUGAUGAGUUCUAAGCCAAUCAAGGAGUGACUGAAGGGUGACCUGCUGGAAACUUCUCUGCUUGAGGCUGAGCUUCCCUGCCUCAGGGGACAGAACACACUCAGAGCAGAGGACAAACACCUGCUCACCAGGAGGCCCAGCAAGCACAGAACAGUACCUUUCUCUUACCCACUGGGGCACUGACAACAUUACAGCUGGACCCCAUCCCAGCUGUUAGACAGGCUACCCAUCCUUGAGGACAGAGUUGAGAGGCAGGCUGGACAAGUGGAGCAGGGAGAAAACUUCUUAGGGGUAGACAGACUGUCGCAGAGCUCCCUAAGCCCAACCUUCUUGAUCACAGCUCUGAAGCUCCUGACCUUGAGAUCAGCUGGGUCCAGGGAAUGGACAGCAAUAAUAGCUCUGACAUGCUCUCUUCCCUCUUGGCUCCUCUCUACCCCUUGCCACUGUAUCAGAGCUAAUGCCACUUCUCCAUCCAGAACUUGCUUCCAAUAAAGAAUCAGAGAGAAGAUAUAGGCAUAGAUCUUUUUUCUUUUCUUUUUUGGUACCAGGGAUCGAACUUGGGUCCUGGUACUUUCAAGUCAGGCAGUGAGCUAAAGUGAACUAAAUCCCUGGCCCUAGGCAUAGUUUUUAUUACCUUCAGGAGUUUAUUUGGUCCAGUCCACGAGUGGGGUCCAGUUCCAAGGUGCCAUCAGGAAUCAGGAGUUCUGCAAUGGCCACACAGAAGCAGCACAGGCAGGCUUGGCAGUGUGCAUGCACCUGAAGGUGCUCUGAACUAGCUUUCCUCAACAGAUGUGGAAAAAGAAAGCCACAGCACGUGGCCUCCUCCCCAGGGCUGUGCCGUGAUUUGCACCUUGAACACAAAUGGCAGAAUAUUUUAAACAGAAACACUAGGCUGAGUCCGAGGUACUCAUGGGACGACAUCAAUUCUUUCAACCAGUUUAACUGAAGUAAUAACAAGAACAGCAGCAAAAAUGCCACUGACGGUGAUAAAAGUGGUGGUGAUGGUGGUUAUGAUAAUGGUGACAUUAGCAGUGACGGUGACAUUGAUGGUGAGUGCAUGGCAUGCUAAGUCUAUGCCAGGGACAAUGUUCUCUCCCUCCUUAUGACAAGGGAAGCACUGAGAAGCAUUUUGGAGAGUGGUCCAGCUUAAGCAGUGACAAAUUAGUGGAUGCUUACUCCCUGCUGUCCUAAGGAGUGCUCAAUGUAUUGUCCUCAAAACUGCAGACGGAGUCAGGGAAUACUCUCAGGAUUUCUCCCCUAUUCACUUCCAGAAGUUCUCUGUUUGCCUAUUUGUGAGUCAUUUAUGAAUAACCAGUGGGGAGCCUCGUCACCGAGAUACAUCCACCACACUUGGCUCUGCCCGGGGCUGCAGACGUCGUCUCCCAAGGUGGUACAAACAAACAAUUAUCACCGUCUUCACAGAUCCUGCACUCAAAAUUGCUUGUCGGACUUGGGAAUAGCACUUUUCUUUUGCAAGAAGAUCAUGUCUAUGUGUGCUGCAAUUGGACUCUGCUUUGGUUUGUGUCAUUGCUAAGAUGUAAUAAGGUUAGCCAGGAUUGAAAUAACUGUCACCGAGUCUCUUGAAAGCAAGACUGCCUUCGGCAGGGAAUAAAAAGUGGGUGAAAAUGCAUGUAAUGGAUUUGCAUUCAGAGCUGGCCAAGGACUUGGUGCUGAGGAAAAUGAGUGGCCCAGCAGGCCUUCCUUGCCCAGAGUCUGGGUAGCCCUGUGUGCCGGGGUAGGGAUGUUUCCCUGCUUCUUAUCAAUGCAUCUGGUGUCCAUCAAAGAGCCUAGUCUGGGUGAUGGGAGGGUGUGUGGGAUUCAUGUGGAGAGGGAAUGGAGACUUUAAAAUACACACAUGGCAGCAUGAAUUCCAGCUCCCUUACUUGCUGAGCAUGUGGUCUUGGACCUGUUUCAGAUCUGUAAGUGGAGAAAGUGCAUUGUGACCUCCUGGAUUAUCAAAAAUGCUUGAUGAGAUGAGGUGUAUGAACCAUGAGAAGUCACAGGUGUUGGAAGCUGGAGGUCAGGGGUGUUCUCCCCUCUCACUCUGCCCCAAUCUGGCAUGACCAUCUGAGUCUUUGGACCUCCUCUGAGUCGCCUGCCUCCAGGUCAGUCUGCCACCCCAUUGUCGCUGUGUUCUCAUUCAGCCCACGCUUGUGUUAACCCCACAUCUGGUUAUCUUUGAGGGUUUAGUGAGAUUCCAACAACAUAAUGUACCAGAGAGACAUGAAGGAGCUGAUGUAAGAUUAAAAAUUUCCACUUUCA